GUGAGAGAAGACUUCCUGAGCAUGAGAGGAUGGGCAGCCCUGAAGCAGGCAAAGGAAAAGUGGCACGGCAGGAAGCAAGUCAGAUGAGGGGGCCUGGUUUGUGCGAGAACAUGACAAACCAGUGUUCCUGAAGCCUAAAGGGAAGGUGAGACAAGGCAGAGGAGGCUGGCGGGGCCAGGUCACGGAGUCUCCUGUGCCACACUGAGAGUCUGGGCUUGAGCUUGUGGAGCAAAUAAACCACAGCAACCAUGAAAUUAGAAGUUUGGUAAAACAUGUUGCAGAAGAACCAGGAAACACAUUGCAAUUGAGCCUGCUGGGUGCUGCUGCAAGUUUGGGGGUGAACAGGAGAAUCAGGUUCUUAUAGAACUGGGCAGAGUGGCUCACACCUACAAUCCCCUAGGAGGGAAGGACAAAGGCAUCCAUAUCACCUCGCCACAGUGGUUGUGGUGGAAGCUGUAGCACUGAAGAGAUGCAGCCCCAUGGAAGAUGCUGCCAAGAGAGGGAGACAGAGCUACGUCUGGUGUCUCCCUUCCUCCUUACCUGGUGCCUCCCUCCUCCUGUCCUCCUGUCUCCCUUCAGAUGAAGGAACUGAUGCUGAGACUUGCACUCUACCAUAGGCGGAAGCACCCACCACCCUGUUCCCAGCCCUGGAAGGGCAAGGAAUGAAUCUGAGGCAAAUAGGGCCAGCACUGGCAGUCUGCUCGAUUUUCCCUCAGAGCAUUUAUCUUCCUUGACAUAUUUACAAUUUUUUGUCUAUUUUUGGUUUCUCUAACUUGACUAGAAUGUAAGAUCCACAAGGCUUGGGCUUUGCUCUUUUGUUCACUAUGUCCAUAGCUCCUGUAACAGUGCCUAAAACAUAGUAGGCAAUCAAUAGAUAUUCUUUGGAUAAACAAAUAUGCCUCAACAUUGAGUCUAACUUACAGCAGACAUUGAAUAAAUAUCUAUUGAAUGAAUGAGACUAA
rnacentral:lncRNA from 1 species